rnacentral:rRNA from 1 species
CAUGCAAGUCGAACGAGAGACUCUUCGGAGUAGUAAAGUGGCGAACGGGUGAGUAAGACAUGGGUAAUCUGCCUUUGAGCGGGGGAUAACCAGCCGAAAGGCUGGCUAAUACCCCAUACGCUUCCGGUCCCUCGGGUAAGGAAGGAAAGCCGCAUCGUGGAUGUGGCACUCGAAGAUGGGCUCAUGGCCUAUCAGCUUGUUGGUGGGGUAACGGCCUACCAAGGCAACGACGGGUAGCUGGUCUGAGAGGACGAUCAGCCACACUGGCACUGAAAUACGGGCCAGACUCCUACGGGAGGCAGCAGUGAGGAAUAUUGCGCAAUGGGCGAAAGCCUGACGCAGCGACGCCGCGUGGGGGAAGAAGGUUUUCGGAUUGUAAACCCCUUUUAGGAGGAAAGAUGGGGUGGUUUUCCACCCGGACGGUACCUCCAGAAAAAGCCACGGCUAACUUCGUGCCAGCAGCCGCGGUAAUACGAAGGUGGCGAGCGUUGUUCGGAUUUACUGGGCGUAAAGAGCACGUAGGCGGUUUAGUAAGCCCCUUGGGAAAGCUAUGGGCUUAACCCAUAAAGGUCGAGGGGGACUGCUAAGCUAGAGGGCGGGAGAGGAGCGCGGAAUUUCCGGUGUAGCGGUGAAAUGCGUAGAUAUCGGGAAGAAGGCCGGUGGCGAAGGCGGCGCUCUGGAACGUCUCUGACG